rnacentral:sRNA from 1 species
UUUUUUUAAUGUGAAGUUUUUACACAUUUGCAUGUGCACGUCCUUCUCUACUAAUCAUAUUAAGCAUGGAUGUAAAAACUAUGAUUAACAAAUAAUUGAUCUUUUUGGGGGUACUGCUCUACUUAAUAAUUGCUUAUAUAUUGCUUAUAUAUAUAUAUGUGUAUACAUAAAAGAGUAAAAUAAAACAUGUGUGGUUCAUAGUGCAAAUUUUGUUCACUUUCAUAUUUCUUUGGUCUUUUUGGGGUAGUGUUCUCUAUAGACUAUAUAGACUUAAUAAUUGCUUAUAUAUUUUCAAAAUAUGAAGAGCAAAAUGGCUAACAACCGAAAAUAUAUGUAUUUUUUUUUUUUUGAAUAAGGUUAUGUUCUCCGGUGUCUACGGCAUAUUACAUGAUUUAUUUCUCUUUCUCUCUCCAUAUGUAUCUCUUUCUUAAUUAGUAGCUAUGUGUUUUGUUUCAUAUUUAUUACCCACCGUGACAAUGAGUAAAACAAAACAUAUGUGGUUCAUAGUCCAACUUUCCUAUUUUGCCAUCUGAAAUAAAUGUUUUGAUAGUAACGUUGUUUUUCCUUUUUAAUGUUAAUUUCCUAUAAAUUUGCAUGUAAAUGUCCUUUUCUAUCUAUCAUUUUUACUAU